rnacentral:rRNA from 1 species
UACGUAGGGGGCGAGCGUUGUCCGGAAUUAUUGGGCGUAAAGAGCGUGUAGGCGGUUCGGUAAGUCUGCCGUGAAAACCUGGGGCUCAACCCUGGGCGUGCGGUGGAUACUGCCGGGCUAGAGGGUGGUAGAGGCGAGUGGAAUUCCCGGUGUAGCGGUGAAAUGCGCAGAUAUCGGGAGGAACACCAGUAGCGAAGGCGGCUCGCUGGGCCAUCCUGACGCUGAGACGCGAAAGCUAGGGAGCGAACAGG